rnacentral:lncRNA from 1 species
UCUUCAUUCAUACCUUACCCAAAACAUACAUUUUGUUUAAUUUUGCCUUUAUUUCUUUGAUAUGUCUCUUUCCAGCUGGCACAAAUCAAUGAAUUACUGGUGAAAGCAAAAGAGAAAUGAAGCAAUCUCUUAGAAGACUUCAGCUCCUUAGGAUAUACUGCCACAUGGAAAAUGGGGAGUUACUAAUAUUCCAAUCUGUACGCUACAAUGAGAAGGCUUGAAGCCCAGUCCAAAUUUUAUUUUAAGUAGACUAGGUAGCAGAAACUCAGAGGCUACCUACAAAAGCUGCUGUGUUUUUUGUAAUUUUGCCAGAUAAAUUUUCCCAUGCUAUAUUUAUUGCAGUUACUCACUGGAUGCAGAAAUGACUGAUGCACAUUUAUUGUUGUAUCUAUGUAAAAAGUUUGCUAUCAUAGAGGCACUUACCUUCUUGAAAUGCCUCAUGAUAAUACAUGAUGCUAUUAAGAUUAACAACCUCCUGAUUAAUACUAGAGAGCACAUUUGCAAUCAAAUGGUCUAUAUCAAUGAGGCAUGUGGAGAACAUUUUGUACAUGAGUUCAGCAGUUCAUGGAGUGGUGCCAUUACUGACAUAAAACCACCCAUUAUUCAUCUCAUGAACUCUGUUGUAGUGUUCCAGAAAGCUUAAUCUUAUAUGAAACAGUAUUUCUCAUGUCUUAAAAUAGAUGCUUGUAAUAUGGUUUAGAAUGCGCACAUUGGCCAGCCAACCUUGACCACACUGUGAAACAGAGUGCAAUGUGAUCUCUGUUCCAUGACUACAGGCAGAGAACUACAGAAAAAGCUCCACUUGCAGAGUCUCCUUCAUCUGGCUAAAUAUGCCAGGACAAGAAGUUCCAAAAGGGCCUGUAACACCUGGAGUAAACCCUUGUGCUGCAUUCUGGAAGCUGCAUGGCAGCACACUCAUCUCUUGUUGACACUCAUCUUCUUAGAGCAUGUGGCUUUUUAUUUGUCAGGUAGGAUCUUACUCAAAAUGGAUAGACUCUUUCUCAACAUACUGUAUAGGAUUCUAAGAGAAACAUUCAUCACCCAGCUAGUAUCACUCUGCAGUUUUACUGUUAACUACUCACACUCUAAAGUAUUUUCUGUAUAAGCUCAGCUAUAAGAACAUUGCAAAUUAAAUAUCAGAUGUCUGGAAGGAUGGCUUUGCAGGACUGAUUUAGUAGAACAAUUUCUCAUCUAGAAGUAGAUGACGGCUGUAGAAAUGUGAUUUCAGUUAGCAUACUGACAAAAAUUGCCGGGAUUCUCUACAGAAGUUUUAAAUGAAGGAAAAGGACAGAUGCAGACACAAUUUUCCAAGUAAUAACAGCUGAGCACUGGUUAUAUUUCUGAGAGAUUAAAGAAAUGGGGAGAGAUAAAGAAAUGACUGUAGCAGGAUAUACUGGGAACUGAACGACUGUUGGCAUGUAUAUUGGAAUUACUAUGGAAUGUUUAUUGCAGACAAACUGCUGUAGCCUGCUAUAAAGCAGUAUAAACAUAAUAUAGUUUAACAUAUAAUACACAGCUGUGAAUUGAUGUUGACCUUAACCUUGUCAUUUGGCAAUAGCAUUUUAUUUCUUUUCCUUGUUUCAUUAAUGAUGGAGUUUUUACCAUUUGUAUUUAUCACUGACAAUUGAUUGGUUUCGGGGUUUUUUUUUGGACACUGAAUGGAGAUGGAGGCUUUAUUUUUUGCCUGUUUGAUUCAUGUAACUAUAAGAUAUAUAUGGAUAUAUAUAUAUCUGCCUCAUUAACAUAACAGAUGAUCUACAUUAUUGUCACAUUUGAAAAUGUCAAUUUCCAAUUCAGUCUUAAGAUCAUGCUAGUAUAGUGAUUUCUCUAUAUAAUUAACAUACAGUGACAUACUUAGUAAUAACCUCUUCCACUGGAGUCUUCCCUUUGGUUGUACAGCGUACACUCUGCUUCCUUGUUUACCUAUUUAAUAUAGCAUCUCUUCUUAAAGAAAAAAAAGAAGAAAAAUACAUAUCAAACACUAUUAGCUAAUUUCAAUGCUUAUUUUGGGGGAAAGAACCUUUAUCUCUUCUUUAUCAUUCAUUCAAAGACAUAAAUGCAUUAUUCAAAAAUUGUAAUGACUCAUAUAUCCACAUUAGUUCAACCUGUAGCCACAUUUGACGUAUCACAGUCCAGAAGGAAGAGAGUUGUUUCCAGAAAGUGACUUGUCCUUGUCAUUGGGAAAAAGUACAUGGAAAUGGGCUGGCUGUAGAUGGUAGCUUCACAUGCCAGAUGUCACCCCCUUUCCCUUUUGAAGCCCUGAUAAGCAUUUUAGUUUUUUGAUGAGGGUUUUCCUAUGGACUGCUAGAGUAGCCUUUUCAAGAGUUAGAGAUGAUCUGUCUUUGUCUGCAAGGUUUUCUCCCCCAUUUUAAGGAACUUAAUGAAACCAAUGUAGAAAUCAGAAUACAUGUGCAGCACAAGAGAUCCAUAUUAUUUUGUCCAUAACAGGGAAGAAUAUAGCCUUUUUCCUUAAAAUGUUUGUCCUCAAGGACCAGAUAAUUGUAUGUUGUGGAUCACAAGUCAAAAAUUAUUCAUAUUUUAUUCUCCUAAGGGAUAUUAUCUAGGACAAUGCUCUCUCUCUAUAUAUAUAUAUCUUCUAAUCUGGUAUCUUGUUUUGAUGAGUAAAAUAUUUUUCUUCAGAGCAAUAAAUGUAAUAAAAUGCAUGAAAAUAUAAAAACA